rnacentral:misc_RNA from 1 species
CGUAACAAGGUCUCCGUUGGUGAACCAGCGGAGGGAUCAUUACCGAGUUAUACAACUCAUCAACCCUGUGAACAUACCUAAAACGUUGCUUCGGCGGGAACAGACGGCCCUGUAACAACGGGCCGCCCCCGCCAGAGGACCCCUAACUCUGUUUUUAUAAUGUUUUUCUGAGUAAACAAGCAAAUAAAUUAAAACUUUCAACAACGGAUCUCUUGGCUCUGGCAUCGAUGAAGAACGCAGCGAAAUGCGAUAAGUAAUGUGAAUUGCAGAAUUCAGUGAAUCAUCGAAUCUUUGAACGCACAUUGCGCCCGCCAGUAUUCUGGCGGGCAUGCCUGUUCGAGCGUCAUUACAACCCUCAGGCCCCCGGGCCUGGCGUUGGGGAUCGGCGGAAGCCCCCUGUGGGCACACGCCGUCCCUCAAAUACAGUGGCGGUCCCGCCGCAGCUUCCAUUGCGUAGUAGCUAACACCUCGCAACUGGAGAGCGGCGCGGCCAUGCCGUAAAACACCCAACUUCUGAAUGUUGACCUCGAAUCAGGUAGGAAUACCCGCUGAACCUAAGCAUAUC